GAUUUCUGGUAUGACGUUACUAGUCCGCCUGGGUCCACCAGCGUGAGUACUGGUUUGCGUCUGCCAUCCUUGUAGAAAGGCACUACUGCCGUUCGCGGUGGGUAGGGUUGAUCUACAUCUUUUACUUUGAAAAAAUUAGAGUGUUUAAAGCAGGCUUGCGCUAUGAAUACAUUAGCAUGGAAUAAUAAUAUAGGACUCUUGCCUAUUUUGUUGGUUUUCAGCGCUUGAGUAAUGAUUGAUAGGGAUAGUUGGGGGUGCUAGUAUUGGCCGGCCAGAGGUGAAAUUCUUGGAUUCGGUCAAGACUAACUUAUGCGAAAGCAUU
rnacentral:rRNA from 1 species